CUUUAAACACAAAACAUCGAAAACUUUCAAUUUCCAAUCAUAAACUAUCUAGAUUCUAGAAUAUUUGCAAUGGAAAGAAGGAAUAGAUAAACGGUGAAUGCGUUAUUAUCUAGGCCGAAUCGGUUUCGGUUGGCGCGUGAUCCCGUGGCCUUCUUCGAUUUGAAGAAAAAGAAGAGCAUGAGAGGCGGACAGGGUACAAAAAAAAA